GCCUCCAGACGAUAUUAUGAAUCUCAAACGACUGGGUCGGGUUCUCUGACGUCUCUGGUUCUUCCACUUCCACAUCAAUCUGAAGUAGACUGAACCGCGACAUGGAGGAGAAAGGGAUUGUUGACCGCGAUUGUUUCCCGCCGGAGCCGCGGGGCCUGUUCCGCGGCGGCGGUGCCCCGCGGCGGCGGGAGGGUGCCCCGCCAGUGCUGCUGAGGCAGCCGGCAUCGUGGCUCCGGCGGGGGACAAUCGCGGACAAUUCCUUUUGUCAAAGGCAGAGCAGGAUGGCUAGUGCUCGUUUUACACCUAAUGCCAUUUCUAGCUACUGGGGGACCAUAUGCAGGCUAGGGGAACUCAUAUUAAUGUUAGAAAACCUCCUAAAGUGAAUUUUAAGUGUCAGGACGUACAAUACAAGUGCGUAAGGGGGGCUAUGCAGUCCAGGUGAACUCUGAACAAGUGAGUCUUUUGUGUAAGCUGGUGAGUGGCUGGAGACUUGAAAUCUGCAGGUUUUCUUGAUAAAUCUAAUCUAUUUAUAAAAUGAAAUGUCAGAAUGGAUUUCUUUCGGUGGAUUCAAAGUGAACAAAAACACGUCCUAGUCGGUCCCAAAUAAGAAUAAAUGUCACCCCAGGUUACUCGAGAAAAAUAUUUGAAAGAACAUCACCAGUUACAUAUAAUAACACUGAAUUCAACUCAGCUCAGCCGACUCAUCGACGCAAAGACAUUGAUUCAAUCAACAUGAAGCUGAGUGGUUUCAGGGAUAGCGGCAUCCAUAUGAAUCACCAUGGCAACGAUAGAACACGUUGCAUUAACUAACAGGCUAAACAUUGUAUACAUUCACUGAAGAUUACAAAACGGAAAUAUCCAUUUAUCGCUAGAAAAGUUUGAAACUAUCUAAAAAUGUCCACAGAAUAAAUCUAAUGUCAUCCAUUUUGUUUUGGCACAACGGUGAGAUACGUGACAUUCAUGUUGCUGUUUCUUCAAACAGGCGAUAGGGGGCGCUGUACAAGUGAGAGCUCAUAUGGCUAGUUUUGGGUCACACCAACGGUCUAUUCUGUCGUUUAGGUUGGAGAACAGGCUGAUAAAUAAGCAAUAGUCUGUUCUGCAUACUCAAGUUUGGAUCUCGUUAGUUAUUCACGGUCUAUCUGUCGAUACCUAUCGUUAUUUGAGGGUUUGGGUAUUAUAUUUAUAUUGGAUUGAUAACGCCUAUAUCUCCCCAUUGGACUGGUCAAAAGAUAGAUAUUAAGUUAAUCGAGCCCCCAAAAAGUUUGUUGCCGAAAUUCCCAUGGCUAUAACUUAUGGUCAAGGUUAAACGCCCGAUGGAUAAAAAUAUAUGUAGGCCUAUAAUGCAGAUUUUGUAGGCCUACUUUAUAUUUUGCGGUAGAAUUUGAAGGUUCCUGUUCAGUCAGUCUGGUGCUCCUGGUGACUUUUCUCCUAGAGGUUUACGCUGGAAAUGGAACCAAAAACACAAGGUUAGAAAAUUGAAGCUGUGAUGACUUAGUGAUACCAACAUGGGAAUGACGGAGAAGAGGUAGAGCAGAACAUUAACACUGCCAGGGUGCAGGGUCGAAUCCCGUCUAGCAGGCCCGGCCCUGGGCAGAGGCAGCAGAGGCGAAUGCUAAAGGCGCAUCCAUCGGCAGGGGGCGCCAAAAAUAUGUAUUUUUAUUUAUUUUUUUAUUUUUUUGCAUACUGUAUUCAUCUAACUUUAACUUCAAUGUUUAUAUUACUUAGUACCAGUAGUUAUGUCUAAAUAAAUAUUAGACAACAUAAUAACAUGUAAAAUAAAAGAGCGCCCUAGUUUCUGUUUCCCCCCUCAUUCUGACCGGAGAGGAGAAAGCUCUCUAUUUGCACAUCACAAUGUCAAAGAAACCCAAACACUCUGGUGCCCAGGGGAGGAAGAGAAAGAAAGAAGAGGAGGAAAAACGGGAAAAGACAGAAAUACAGUAACUUUAAUUUAUUUAUCUUUAAUGUUGACCUGGCUGGCUAUAGCCAACUGGUCACUUUGUCGGGCUCUUGUUCAUCUUUCUAUCUUUAUUUCUAUGGAGCUAACUGUUCCCUAUACAAAACUCAGCUUAAUACAUGGCUAUUAGUUUAAUUUAUUCACUUAUCGAAGCAUUAUGUGGUUUUAAAUGUGGUUUUAUUAUUAAGUAAAUACAAAUAGUCCGCCAAAAGUUGUCAGGGCGUAGCGCGUUGCCAAGCUACGUGUAAACAACUUAACCAGAGUUAACUAGUCAUGCAGUGUUUGUUUUUAAAAAAGAAAAGGAAUGUUAGCUCUUUACCUAGCUGGUCCGCUGCUCAAUCCAAACCCACACGCUUCAAUGAAAAUCAAAACAUGUCAGCUAAGUACAUAGGUCCAUAACAGUUUGUAACCCACAGUAAAAUUGGGGCACUAUCCUUAAAUUAUCCAAUGCAUAGUAACCAUUGUUUCAGCAGUGUUUAUUUUCAAGCUGAUUUGGAGGAUAGUUUGUGGUUUGCAUAUCUUACAUUUCCCAUAUCUUUCAUACAAUAAUGUAUUAUUGUAUUUUUUUUACACUUCACUUGAGUGCUUGUUUAAUCUCUGGUUAGAACCAAGCUAUAAAAAAUGUAAACCACACUACAUUUAAUUGUAUUUACAAUAAUUUGAAUCUGAAGUCACUCAAAACGUAAUACGUUUUUUGUGUUUAAUUUUCUAUCUAAAUUAAAAGAGUCUCAAAGACAAAGCUUUGCAGCUUAUCUGAGUGUAUGAACAUUGGUAGUCGAAUUUACUGUGCGAUCCAAAGGGGUAGGGGGCGGCAGCAAAAAUCUUGCCUGGGGCGCCAAAUUGGUCAGGGCAGAGCACGGUAUUGAAACUGCCAAGGUUACGGUUUUGAUUCCUCCUCGAGGUUUAAGGCUCGUAGAGGUUUAAGGUUCCUAGAGGUUUAAGGCUCCUAGAGGUUUAAGGUUCCUGUUCAGUUCGUCGUAGAGGUUUAAGGGCGAGAGCAGCGGUGCUCCCUCUUAGUGUUGAGGGUUGCAACGCCACGCCCUUGUUCAUAUCAAGCUAAACUAAUCCCACAUGCGCUUUCAACUUAUAUGUUCUAUACUGGUCCUAUGGUAACAUAUGAACAUCUCCCUCUCCCU